CCGGGUUAGGUAGUCGGGCCGGGAUCCGGCCCACUUGACACCCCUACUCCAGAUUGUUCCCAAAUAAACCUUUUGUUAUACGACAUACUCCUCCAAUAUUCUUCUUAACUGAAAUGUUAGUCACAGAUUCUGCUAAACCUUCGUGUACCUUACAACAACUCAAUAAGGGAAUACAAUUGUUUUAUGACACUAUAUAUGAUUCACAUUUACUUACUGCGGUUCGACUAUCAUACUUUUAUAAUCCCACCUAUCUUAUUUCUACUAGGAUUACGCCGAUGG
rnacentral:lncRNA from 1 species